rnacentral:ribozyme from 1 species
GUGGCCACCAACGGUCAUGGGCACAACGUGCACCUGAACCUAAACAACUUGAGCCAAAAUGGCUACGGA